GCCGGGUGUGGUGGCGCACGACUGUAAUCCCAGCUACUUGGGAGGCUGAGGCAGGAGAAUUGCUUGAGCCUGGGAGGUGGAGGUUGCAGUGAGCUGAGAUCACACACUGCACUCCAGCCUGGGCAACAGAACAAGACUCUGUCUCAA
rnacentral:SRP_RNA from 1 species